rnacentral:misc_RNA from 1 species
CUUGAGAACCAUGUUGAGGUGAAGAAGAUCCUUGUUAAAAUUACAAUCUAUUUUCAAGUACAGGAUGAUUAUCAAGAUUGCUUUGGAGAUCCCAAAGUGACUGGUAAGGUUGGAACAGAUAUUGAAGAUUGCAAGUGCACUUGGUUUGUUGUGAAAGCACUGGAACUUGCUAAUGACGAACAAAAAAAAUUGUUACAUGAAAAUUACGGGAGAGCAGAUCCAGCCAGUGUUGCAAAAGUGAAAGAUCUCUAUCAAGUUCUUGAUCUUCAGGGUAUAUAUGCGGAGUAUGAGAGGGAGACUCAUGAGAAGCUAUCAGAGGCCAUUAAAACUUAUCCAAAUAAAGCAUUGCAGGCUUUAUGGGGAAGAUUCACAGGAACCAGAUGGACAGUUGAUAGAGCAGGGAAUGCUGCCGGGAACAAAUGAGAAUCUUCCCCAUAAAGCCUGC